UACAGAGGGUGCAAGCGUUGUUCGGAAUUAUUGGGCGUAAAAGCGCGUGUAGGCGGCUUUUGCAAAGUCGGGGUGUGAAAAGCCCCUCAGCUCAACUGAGGAAGUGCGCCCCGAAAACUGCAGAGCUUGAGUGCCGGAGAGGGGUGGCGGAAUUCCCCCAAAGUAGAGGUGAAAAUUCGUAGAUAUGGGGGAGGGAACACCGGUGGCGAAAGGCGGCC
rnacentral:rRNA from 1 species